rnacentral:tmRNA from 3 species
GGGGGCGACCUGGUUUCGACGUGGGUCGCGAAACCCUGGGUGCAUGCCGAGGCGCAGAUCACCUCGUAAAUCCAGCUGCAAACCAAUAGUUGCGAACGACUCCAACUACGCUCUGGCUGCCUAAAAACCAGUCUUGAGCCCUCGGGCUGAGUCCGUGCUUGUGCGGGAGCAGAUGCCGGGGUUAUCAAUCACAAGAUCGCGUGCGGGCUCGUCCGGGGUCCAAUCGUUAAAUCCUGCAAUCCGGACUGGCUGUCGGUCUUCCCUGUCCGUCGGGUAGCCGCCAGCGAGAUCAAAGGCGGUCUAAGCAUGUAGAGCUCAUGGCGUAGGGCUUGCGGACGCGGGUUCGAUUCCCGCCGCCUCCACCA